GAUUGCGUUUUAGAAGGCGCAUUUGCUAAGUCGCAUUUCGAUUUUAUAUUUAUAGCAUUCUAAACAAAAACGGUACAAAUUACUCGUAACUGCAAUCGAGGAAAGAUCUCGAGUUGCAGGGAGAUAGCGCAAACAGCUGAUUUUAACUGGAAGGUAUUGCAGCUCUGAUUUUAGAAAGAGAGUAGCAGCAAGAUGGCAUAUGAACUAGACGAGC